GACGAACGCUGGCGGCGUGCUUAACACAUGCAAGUCGAACGGUAAGGCCCUUCGGGGUACACGAGUGGCGAACGGGUGAGUAACACGUGGGUGAUCUGCCCUGCACUUCGGGAUAAGCCUGGGAAACUGGGUCUAAUACCGGAUAGGACUCCUGGCUUCAUGGUUGGGGGUGGAAAGCUUUUGCGGUGUGGGAUGGGCCCGCGUGCUAUCAGCUUGUUGGUGGGGUAAUGGCCUACCAAGGCGACGACGGGUAGCCGGCCUGAGAGGGGGACCGGUCACACUGGGACUGAGAUACGGCCCAGACGCCUACGGGAGGCAGCAGUGGGGAAUAUUGCACAAUGGGCGCAAGCCUGAUGCAGCGACGCCGCAUGAGGGAUGACGGCCUUCGGGUUGUAAACCUCUUUCAGCUAUGACGAAGCGCAAGUGACGGUAGUAGCAGAAGAAGGACCGGCCAACUACGUGCCAGCCGCCGCCGUAA
rnacentral:rRNA from 1 species